rnacentral:rRNA from 1 species
GACGAACGCUGGCGGCGUGCUUAACACAUGCAAGUCGAGCGGUAAGGCCCUUUCGGGGGUACACGAGCGGCGAACGGGUGAGUAACACGUGGGUGACCUGCCCUCAGCUCUGGGAUAAGCCUGGGAAACCGGGUCUAAUACUGGAUAUGACUCCAUGACGCAUGUUGUGGGGUGGAAAGCCUUGUGCGGCUGAGGAUGGGCCCGCGGCCUAUCAGCUUGUUGGUGGGGUGANGGCCUACCAAGGCGACGACGGGUAGCCGGCCUGAGAGGGCGACCGGCCACACUGGGACUGAGACACGGCCCAGACUCCUACGGGAGGGCAGCAGUGGGGAAUCUUGGACAAUGGGGGCAACCCUGAUCCAGCCAUGCCGCGUGAGUGAUGAAGGCCUCGGUUGUAAG